UACGUAGGGUGCGAGCGUUGUCCGGAAUUACUGGGCGUAAAGAGCUCGUAGGUGGUUUGUCGCGUUGUUCGUGAAAACUCACAGCUCAACUGUGGGCGUGCGGGCGAUACGGGCAGACUGGAGUACUGCAGGGGAGACUGGAAUUCCUGGUGUAGCGGUGGAAUGCGCAGAUAUCAGGAGGAACACCAGUGGCGAAGGCGGUGCUCUGGGCCGGAACUGACGCUGAGGAGCGAAAGCGUGGGGAGCAAACAGG
rnacentral:rRNA from 1 species